CGCCUGUUUAUCAAAAACAUGGUUUUUCGCCUGUUUUUCAAAAACAUGGUGAUUUGAUUAAUAUGAGUCAUCAGGCCUGCCCGGUGAGGUUGAGUAAACGGCCGCGGUAUUUUGACCGUGCGAAGGUAGCAUAAUCAAUUGUCUAUUAAUUAUAGGCUUGUAUGAAUGGUCAGACAUAGCUUGACUUUCUUUCUUUUGUAAUUGAAUUUAUGAUUAUAUUAAAAAUAAUAUAGUGUUAGAUUGGGACGAGAAGACCCUAUUAAGCUUGACAAAUAGUUUAAUUAUACUAAUAGGAGCACAAAAGUGAAUUUGUUUGUUUUGCUGGGGCGGUGGUUUAUAUUAAACAUAAGCUAAGAUUAUACUGUGAUCCAUUAUUAAUGAUCAUAUGAUUAAGUUACUGUAGGGAUAACAGCGUAAUAAAUUUUGAGAGUUCUUAUUGAUAAUUUUGUUUGCGACCUCGAUGUUGAUUUAAGAUUCCUUCAGGAGGAAGAAUAUUUAGAAGGUGGUUUGUUCAACCAUUGAAAUCUUAUGUGAUCUGAGUUCAAACCGGAGACUAUAUGAUCUGAGUUCAAACCGGAG
rnacentral:rRNA from 1 species